UACGUAGGGCGCAAGCGUUGUCCGGAAUUAUUGGGCGUAAAGAGCUCGUAGGUGGUUUGUCGCGUCUGUCGUGAAAGCCCGGGGCUUAACUCCGGGUCUGCGGUGGAUACGGGCAGACUAGAGGCAGGUAGGGGAGAACGGAAUUCCCGGUGUAGCGGUGAAAUGCGCAGAUAUCAGGAGGAACACCGAUGGCGAAGGCAGGUCUCUGGGCAUUAACUGACGCUGAGGAGCGAAAGCAUGGGGAGCGAACAGG
rnacentral:rRNA from 1 species